rnacentral:rRNA from 1 species
CCUACGGGGGGCUGCAGUGAGGAAUAUUGGUCAAUGGACGAGAGUCUGAACCAGCCAAGUAGCGUGAAGGAUGACUGCCCUAUGGGUUGUAAACUUCUUUUAUAUGGGAAUAAAACGUUCCACGUGUGGGAUUUUGUAUGUACCAUAUGAAUAACGAUCGGCUAACUCCGUGCCAGCAGCCGCGGUAAUACGGAGGAUCCGAGUGUUAUCCGGAUUUAUUGGGUUUAAAGGGAGCGUAGGUGGAUUGUUAAGUCAGUUGUGAAAGUUUGCGGCUCAACCGUAAAAUUGCAGUUGAAACUGGCAGUCUUGAGUACAGUAGAGGUGGGCGGAAUUCGUGGUGUAGCGGUGAAAUGCUUAGAUAUCACGAAGAACUCCGAUUGCGAAGGCAGUUCACUGGACUGCAACUGACACUGAGGCUCGAAAGUGUGGGUAUCAAACAGGAUUAGAUACCCCAGUAGUC